rnacentral:rRNA from 1 species
CGUAGGGGGCAAGCGUUGUCCGGAUUUAUUGGGCGUAAAGCGCUCGCAGGUGGUUCGUCGCGUCGUGCGUGAAAGACCCCGGCUCAACUGGGGAGGGUCGUGCGAUAUGGGCGGACUGGAGGCCAGUAGGGGGAUGCGGAAUUCCGGGUGUAGUGGUGGAAUGCGUAGAGAUCCGGAGGAACACCAGCGGCGAAGGCGGCAUCCUGGACUGGUCCUGACACUCAGGAGCGAAAGCGUGGGGAGCGAUCCGGAUUAGAUACCCGGGUAGUCCACGCUGUAAACGAUGCGCACUAGGUGUCGGGGGUAUCGACCCCCUCGGUGCCGCAGCUGACGCGAUAAGUGCGCCGCCUGGGGACUACGGCCGCAAGGCUA